rnacentral:rRNA from 1 species
UACGGGGGGAGCAAGCGUUGUUCGGAUUUACUGGGCGUAAAGGGCGGGUAGGCGGCCACCGCAAGUCAGUUGUGAAAUCUCUGGGCUUAACCCAGAAAGGUCAACUGAUACUGCGGGCUGGAGUGCAGAAGGGCAACUGGAAUUCUCGGUGUAGCGGUGAAAUGCGUAGAUAUCGAGAGGAACACCUGCGGCGAAGGCGGGUUGCUGGGCUGACACUGACGCUGAUGCGCGAAAGCCAGGGGAGCGAACGGG